AUGCGCAGCCCGCGGCCCGUCGGAUUCGCUCUCGCCCGCGGCCUCCUCCGCCUUCAGAAACCUCGCCUAGUUCGGACCUUGGAUCCAAGCAGCAACCCCCGUGUCUGCGGCGUGGAAGAAGAUUAUCUACUCGGAAUUCCAUUGUUCCAUGCUGCGUUGCCACAUUCAGAUUCAGUUAUGAAGCAUGUUGGUGCAACCCGAAAUCACAAUUCAGAAUCAGUUUGUUCUGUGAAGAAAUGUGUAAUCACUUUGACUGGUUCAGGUUUCUGUAUCUGGUCUUGGGUCGAUGCUACCAAAUCUCACAACUGA
rnacentral:rRNA from 1 species